GAUACCCGAAUGGGGAAACCCAGUGUGACUCGUCACACUAUCAUUAACUGAAUCCAUAGGUUAAUGAGGCGAACCGGGGGAACUGAAACAUCUAAGUACCCCGAGGAAAAGAAAUCAACCGAGAUUCCCCCAGUAGCGGCGAGCGAACGGGGAGGAGCCCAGAGCCUGAAUCAGCAUGUGUGUUAGUGGAAGCGUCUGGAAAGGCGCGCGAUACAGGGUGACAGCCCCGUACACAAAAGCGCAUGUGCUGUGAGCUCGAUGAGUAGGGCGGGACACGUGGUAUCCUGUCUGAAUAUGGGGGGACCAUCCUCCAAGGCUAAAUACUCCUGACUGACCGAUAGUGAACCAGUACCGUGAGGGAAAGGCGAAAAGAACCCCGGCGAGGGGAGUGAAAAAGAACCUGAAACCGUGUACGUACAAGCAGUGGGAGCCCCACCACCAAAGCAUUUGCUGUACCGCGUUGACGGAGCGAAGCGACGUCAAACCGAUAAAACAGCAGUGUAAAGUGAGCCGCAGGGCGCUUUGCGCGACAGCGCAAAGGCAGGCGGUUUCGCGUAGCGAAAGCGAAUGCUUUGGGGUGGGGUGACUGCGUACCUUUUGUAUAAUGGGUCAGCGACUUAUAUUCUGUAGCAAGGUUAACCGAAUAGGGGAGCCGGAGGGAAACCGAGUCUUAAUUGGGCGUUAAGUUGCAGGGUAUAGACCCGAAACCCGGUGAUCUAGCCAUGGGCAGGUUGAAGGUUGGGUAACACUAACUGGAGGACCGAACCGACUAAUGUUGAAAAAUUAGCGGAUGACCUGUGGCUGGGGGUGAAAGGCCAAUCAAACCGGGAGAUAGCUGGUUCUCCCCGAAAGCUAUUUAGGUAGCGCCUCGUGAAUUCAUCUCCGGGGGUAGAGCACUGUUUCGGCUAGGGGGCCAUCCCGGCUUACCAACCCGAUGCAAACUGCGAAUACCGGAGAAUGUUAUCACGGGAGACACACGGCGGGUGCUAACGUCCGUCGUGAAGAGGGAAACAACCCAGACCGCCAGCUAAGGUCCCAAAGUCAUGGUUAAGUGGGAAACGAUGUGGGAAGGCCCAGACAGCCAGGAUGUUGGCUUAGAAGCAGCCAUCAUUUAAAGAAAGCGUAAUAGCUCACUGGUCGAGUCGGCCUGCGCGGAAGAUGUAACGGGGCUAAACCAUGCACCGAAGCUGCGGCAGCGACACUGUGUGUUGUUGGGUA
rnacentral:rRNA from 2 species